rnacentral:rRNA from 1 species
UACGUAGGGGGCAAGCGUUGUCCGGAAUCAUUGGGCGUAAAGAGCGUGUAGGCGGCCCGAUAAGUCCGCUGUGAAAGUCCAGGGCUCAACCCUGGGAUGCCGGUGGAUACUGUCGGGCUCGAGUCCGGAAGAGGAGUGUGGAAUUCCUGGUGUAGCGGUGAAAUGCGUAGAGAUCAGGAGGAACACCCGUGGCGAAGGCGGCCCUCUGGCUCGACCCUGACGCUGAGGCGCGAAAGCGUGGGGAGCGAACGGG